rnacentral:rRNA from 1 species
GACGAACGCUGGCGGCGUGCUUAACACAUGCAAGUCGAACGGAAAGGCCCUGCUUUUGUGGGGUGCUCGAGUGGCGAACGGGUGAGUAACACGUGAGUAACCUGCCCUUGACUUUGGGAUAACUUCAGGAAACUGGGGCUAAUACCGGAUAGGAGCUCCUGCUGCAUGGUGGGGGUUGGAAAGUUUCGGCGGGUGGGGAUGGACUCGCGGCUUAUCAGCUUGUUGGUGGGGUAGUGGCUUACCAAGGCUUUGACGGGUAGCCGGCCUGAGAGGGUGACCGGGCACAUUGGGACUGAGGUACGGACCAGACUCCUACAGGAGGCAGCGGUGGGGAAUAUUGCCCAAUGGGCGGAAGCCUGAUGCAGCAGCGCCGCGUGCGGAAUGACGGCCUUCGGGUUGUAAACCGCUUUCGCCUGUGACGAAGCGUGAGUGACGGUAAUGGGUGAAGAAGCACCGGCUAACUACGUG